rnacentral:rRNA from 1 species
GUCCACGCCCUAAACGAUGUCAACUAGGUGUUGGGUGGGUAAAACCAUUUAGUACCGGAGCUAACGCGUGAAGUUGACCGCCUGGGGAGUACGGCCGCAAGGUUAAAACUCAAAGGAAUUGACGGGGACCCGCACAAGCGGUGGAUGAUGUGGAUUAAUUCGAUGCAACGCGAAAACCUUACCUACCCUUGACAUGUCCGGAAGCCCUUAGAGAUUUGGGUGUGCUCGAAAGAGAGCCGGAACACAGGUGCUGCAUGGCUGUCGU